rnacentral:rRNA from 1 species
UAGGUUAAUGAGGCGAACCGGGGGAACUGAAACAUCUAAGUACCCCGAGGAAAAGAAAUCAACCGAGAUUCCCCCAGUAGCGGCGAGCGAACGGGGAGCAGCCCAGAGCCUGAAUCAGUGUGUGUGUUAGUGGAAGCGUCUGGAAAGGCGCGCGAUACAGGGUGACAGCCCCGUACACAAAAAUGCACAUGCUGUGAGCUCGAUGAGUAGGGCGGGACACGUGGUAUCCUGUCUGAAUAUGGGGGGACCAUCCUCCAAGGCUAAAUACUCCUGACUGACCGAUAGUGAACCAGUACCGUGAGGGAAAGGCGAAAAGAACCCCGGCGAGGGGAGUGAAAAAGAACCUGAAACCGUGUACGUACAAGCAGUGGGAGCCUCUUUUAUGGGGUGACUGCGUACCUUUUGUAUAAUGGGUCAGCGACUUAUAUUCUGUAGCAAGGUUAACCGAAUAGGGGAGCCGAAGGGAAACCGAGUCUUAACUGGGCGUUAAGUUGCAGGGUAUAGACCCGAAACCCGGUGAUCUAGCCAUGGGCAGGUUGAAGGUUGGGUAACACUAACUGGAGGACCGAACCGACUAAUGUUGAAAAAUUAGCGGAUGACUUGUGGCUGGGGGUGAAAGGCCAAUCAAACCGGGAGAUAGCUGGUUCUCCCCGAAAGCUAUUUAGGUAGCGCCUCGUGAAUUCAUCUCCGGGGGUAGAGCACUGUUUCGGCAAGGGGGUCAUCCCGACUUACCAACCCGAUGCAAACUGCGAAUACCGGAGAAUGUUAUCACGGGAGACACACGGCGGGUGCUAACGUCCGUCGUGAAGAGGGAAACAACCCAGACCGCCAGCUAAGGUCCCAAAGUCAUGGUUAAGUGGGAAACGAUGUGGGAAGGCCCAGACAGCCAGGAUGUUGGCUUAGAAGCAGCCAUCAUUUAAAGAAAGCGUAAUAGCUCACUGGUCGAGUCGGCCUGCGCGGAAGAUGUAACGGGGCUAAACCAUGCACCGAAGCUGCGGCAGCGACGCUUAUGCGUUGUUGGGUAGGGGAGCGUUCUGUAAGCCUGUGAAGGUGUACUGUGAGGUAUGCUGGAGGUAUCAGAAGUGCGAAUGCUGACAUAAGUAACGAUAAAGCGGGUGAAAAGCCCGCUCGCCGGAAGACCAAGGGUUCCUGUCCAACGUUAAUCGGGGCAGGGUGAGUCGACCCCUAAGGCGAGGCCGAAAGGCGUAGUCGAUGGGAAACAGGUUAAUAUUCCUGUACUUGGUGUUACUGCGAAGGGGGGACGGAGAAGGCUAUGUUGGCCGGGCGACGGUUGUCCCGGUUUAAGCGUGUAGGCUGAUUUUCCAGGCAAAUCCGGAAAAUCAAGGCUGAGGCGUGAUGACGAGGCACUACGGUGCUGAAGCAACAAAUGCCCUGCUUCCAGGAAAAGCCUCUAAGCAUCAGGUAACAUCAAAUCGUACCCCAAACCGACACAGGUGGUCAGGUAGAGAAUACCAAGGCGCUUGAGAGAACUCGGGUGAAGGAACUAGGCAAAAUGGUGCCGUAACUUCGGGAGAAGGCACGCUGAUAUGUAGGUGAAGCGACUUGCUCGUGGAGCUGAAAUCAGUCGAAGAUACCAGCUGGCUGCAACUGUUUAUUAAAAACACAGCACUGUGCAAACACGAAAGUGGACGUAUACGGUGUGACGCCUGCCCGGUGCCGGAAGGUUAAUUGAUGGGGUUAGCGGUAACGCGAAGCUCUUGAUCGAAGCCCCGGUAAACGGCGGCCGUAACUAUAACGGUCCUAAGGUAGCGAAAUUCCUUGUCGGGUAAGUUCCGACCUGCACGAAUGGCGUAAUGAUGGCCAGGCUGUCUCCACCCGAGACUCAGUGAAAUUGAACUCGCUGUGAAGAUGCAGUGUACCCGCGGCAAGACGGAAAGACCCCGUGAACCUUUACUAUAGCUUGACACUGAACAUUGAGCCUUGAUGUGUAGGAUAGGUGGGAGGCUUUGAAGUGUGGACGCCAGUCUGCAUGGAGCCGGCCUUGAAAUACCACCCUUUAAUGUUUGAUGUUCUAACGUUGGCCCCUGAUCGGGGUUGCGGACAGUGUCUGGUGGGUAGUUUGACUGGGGCGGUCUCCUCCUAAAGAGUAACGGAGGAGCACGAAGGUUGGCUAAUCCUGGUCGGACAUCAGGAGGUUAGUGCAAUGGCAUAAGCCAGCUUGACUGCGAGCGUGACGGCGCGAGCAGGUGCGAAAGCAGGUCAUAGUGAUCCGGUGGUUCUGAAUGGAAGGGCCAUCGCUCAACGGAUAAAAGGUACUCCGGGGAUAACAGGCUGAUACCGCCCAAGAGUUCAUAUCGACGGCGGUGUUUGGCACCUCGAUGUCGGCUCAUCACAUCCUGGGGCUGAAGUAGGUCCCAAGGGUAUGGCUGUUCGCCAUUUAAAGUGGUACGCGAGCUGGGUUUAGAACGUCGUGAGACAGUUCGGUCCCUAUCUGCCGUGGGCGCUGGAGAACUGAGGGGGGCUGCUCCUAGUACGAGAGGACCGGAGUGGACGCAUCACUGGUGUUCGGGUUGUCAUGCCAAUGGCACUGCCCGGUAGCUAAAUGCGGAAGAGAUAAGUGCUGAAAGCAUCUAAGCACGAAACUUGCCCCGAGAUGAGUUCUCCCUGAGACUUAGAGUCUCCUGAAGGAACGUUGAAGACGACGACGUUGAUAGGCCGGGUGUGUAAGCGCAGCGAUGCGUUGAGCUAACCGGUACUAAUGAACCGUGAGGCUUAACCUU